CAGGCCUUGGACACCGUUUCCAGUGCCCUUCCUCCUUUGUCUGCCUAGAAUCUCCACUCACUCUUCAAGGUCUUGCUGAAACAUCACUUCCUCCAGGAAGCCCUCCCAGCGGAGUCCACAGAAUGUGUAGGUAUCUGGAAUUACAACCCACCGAUAGGCAGAGGGUGAGACGAGGCCGUGAGAACACACGGAGCCCCCAGGGCUUGGAAGCGCUUUCUCCCGGGAGAGAGACUUCUGUUCAUUCGUGAUGACCAGGUGACAUGGCGCAGAAACAUCUCCUUUCGGCUGAGCCAAAUUCCUUCCCAAGUUCUAACCUUCAAGACAUCCUCAAACAACGGUGAACUCAGACUAAGAUCCAUCUUUUGCUAGUGGAGAGCCCCAAAACUCAGAUGGUGCCCACCAACCACCUGCUUCACUCCUCUCCGAAUGGCCA